UACGUAGGGAGCAAGCGUUGUUCGGAUUUACUGGGCGUAAAGGGCGCGUAGGCGGCAUAUUAAGUCAUCUGUGAAAUCUCCGGGCUUAACUCGGAAAGGUCAACUGAUACUGUGCGGCUAGAGUGCAGAAGGGGCAACUGGAAUUCUCGGUGUAGCGGUGAAAUGCGUAGAUAUCGAGAGGAACACCUGCGGCGAAGGCGGGUUGCUGGGCUGACACUGACGCUGAUGCGCGAAAGCCAGGGAGCGAAC
rnacentral:rRNA from 1 species